GGAUAACAUGCUUGCAAGAGUCUUUUGACUGAGCUGGGGAAUUCUGUGUAGAAAUCUGCACUGACCAAUUCUACACAACAUUUUUUUAUCAAAGUGCCAGCCCCUGCCUGAACAGAAAAUUCUAUUUCUUCUCCGCCUUCCACUGCAAAUGGAAGCUUAUUAAUUGGUAUAUAUCUCGAAAAAGUAUGAUCUCCACCAGAGUUGAAGACAAAUGCCAACUUCCAUGAAUAAGAUGCAAAAGACAAAUAACUAUAUUUGCAGGCUUUAAAAAAUCUCUUACAUCAAUGAUUGCAUAAAUAAUCCAUUAGAAAAAUAACCUGAUUCCAUUUUGGUACAAUUCCGAGUAAAAACAUAGAAUCCAAUCAAAAUAAAAAUCAUAAGAAAAGAACAAAAAGCUCAUCAGAAAUAUGUCCAGAAUCCAAUCUUAUUCUAACUCUUAUAAACAUUAAUCCAAAAGGUACAUGACAGUGGAAAAAAGGCCAAGAAAAACAAGUAGUAGUCCAACAUAACAGCAACAGGUUGCUAUUACAGCUCCUAACCUGCAGCAAGACCAAACGCCAGCAAAUCCUAAAACCACUACCUGAGCAAUUCAGUUGGAUCAUCUUUUGAAAUGUAAUCUGACAGAUCCUGUAAAUCCAUCCUCUGACAGCACCCCCAACCAACAACCUGUACACAGAUUUCAUUAGGCUCUAUUAAAACAAAACUCGGUCUUGUGAAGCAGGGAUACCUGAACCUGCAAAACUCAUUAAAAAUGUAAGCUCUCAACUGAUUCUGGUUGAUUUUUUGUAAAAUAAUAUAAUCAAAGCUGGAAAAAGAGAGUUCACCAAAAAACACAUCCAAUACAGAAUGGAAAAUUGAUUGGUUACUAGCCUGAAUGUGUGGUGAUCACAGAAUCCCAGUGUAAUGCUCACACAUGUUAAAAACAAGCACACAAUGAGAAAACAAAAGAAUUUCAAACAUCCAUGCAAUCAACAGUAACAAUUCAAAUUAGCCACAUUUUCAUUCUUGGAGAACAUAGUUCCGGCUAACACUAGUACGGUAGUAUAGUUACAAAGAAAAGCUUCAAUCAAUCACCAAACAUUUAAACAGCUAGUAAAACUGAAAGCAUUUGCCCGAAUCAGAACACUUGAUCUUGAAAAGAUUUUAGUUUCAAAUGACAACUGUUAUAGUCCAUUAUGGAUUGUUAGUUUGUUAUAGUCACUGACACAAGUUAAUAAAAAACUUGGCCAAGAAAAUUCAAGGGGUGCCAUCAUGCAUUCAAGCACACAAUCAAGCAAAAUAUGAAUGCAGAUAACAGAUGCAAAAGACAUUUCACAUUCCAUAUGACAGAACUGUGAACCUGUACACCACCUGCACAGUGGAAAAUGCGCUGUAAGCUAUAUUUUUACUGAAUGGAUGAUAUUUGCUGGAGAAAAAUAAAAAAUCCUACAGGAGCAGGUAAAUCACAAAAAUAGAGUGAGGGGGGACUAACCAGACAUCUAAACUGGAUCAAUAUCAAUAUACUCCUUGCUGCGGUAGAGACCGCCAAUAUCCAUGAUCCUGAUUGCCAUUUUGCAUAUAGCCAUUAUCACCACCUUCAUGGUUAUUGUAGCCACUGUCAGUUUUGACCUUAUUUGCAUUUUCCUGUUGUUGUUCCCUUUCCCUGUUCCAUUGGGCAAUUUUAGCACACCUCUCCUCACUGCCUUCUCUAACAGGGCUUCUAUCACGCCUUCUCCCAGGGCUUCUACUUCGUCCUCUAUGGUGGUCAGGGCUUAUACUCCUGUGCCUUCUACUCCGACUUUCAUAAUAACGAUCCCAGUCAUCAUACCUUCUACCAGAACCACGACCACCAUAAUAGUACUGUUCAUGACUACGAUGCCUAUAAGGGCUUCUGCUUCGGCUGCGAUACCUAUAAGGGCUUCUGCUUCAGCUGCGACUAGACCUUUGUCGGUACAUCCCAAAUAAUUGACGCCUCAACUCCCUGCUGAUCCUUUUGAGAUGCAUGAAAUUGCAAUAGCCACCACGGUUGCACGAGUUCUCUUCAUAUUGCCUGCAGGUGGCUUCACGGAAGUCCGUCACCGGGGAGAAAUCAACAAUGAUGGGACGACCAGCAUAAAAUCUCCCGCUGAGGCUCUGAAGUGCUUUUGCAGCAUCCUCAUCCUCUCUAAACUGAACAUACACAUUCCCCACCAUGUGGUCGGCAAGGUUGUCACAGACAUUCAGGCUCUCAAUUUCACCGUAUUUGCUUAGUUCCUCAAAUAGAUCAUCAUAGAAAUCCUCGAAGUGCUCCUGGAUCUUGCGGGGAUCGAUGGGGUUGCCCUGAGCAUCAACGCCAGGAGUAAUCAUGUCAGGCCGCUGAUACAUAUUCGAAAGCAAAAGCGUAGGGCUAAUGGUUGGCUUGUUAUGGAGUCUGGAGCAUCGGUCUCCAUGCCUGCAUGCACCGAUCUUGAAGUAAAAGGGGCAAUUCACCCUGUCCUUCUCCGUCCCAAAAAUCGACGCCAAAUGCUCAGCCAUUUUUGAUCUGAUCGCUCCUAAGGAGAAUCGCUAAAAAAAUAAAGCUGCGAGCUGCAGAAGAAUUUUUCGAAUCAGAAAGAGAGAAGCAACGGAGAUGGUUGUUUGUAUCAGCUACGAGGCGGUUUGGUGU
rnacentral:misc_RNA from 1 species